rnacentral:lncRNA from 1 species
AACACCCCUCAUUUUAUGAAUCCCGUUUGUGAGUUCUGGGUUACAGUGGAACAGCGGGAUUCUGAGAGAGCAGGGUCAAAGCUGUAUUCUGUCUUGGAAUAGAUCCGGAAGGGUGGAAGGAAGGAAGAAGGCAUGAGAGUAAGACCAGGUUUUAGAUCUUAGAAACAAGGACACAGGUUUAUUUUUACUGUUUUGUUGUCAACUGUCAGUUACUUUGGCGUCAAGUUCUCAUUGAACAAGUUCUACUCUCUGAGCUGCAUCUUUUUCUCCCUUCAGUUCAGAUACUUAAUAAAUUAACUGACAUGGAAAACAAAGGUUGAAAAUGGGGACCUUCCUGCCUUACCUGAGCCUAACACUACUGGCCUAGGUAGAAGCAGAUGGAGUCUCUCUGAGGCUGAGGCUGCUAACUGUGGUGUGCCCACUGGGCCCAGGUCUUCCGGCCGUGCCUGCCUGACCCCAUCUGGGGGCCCCCAGCAGGCUCCCCAGGUCAGAGCCUCAACAUUUCAGCUGGAGGAUCAGAACAGACUCAAACAGCCUGGAGUCAAGUGGUGUGAUCCUGAGGAAGAACUGGGCGGGAAGGAAACCUGCCGGACUCACUCUGCUGAUGGGCGUGGGCUCCUGUCCUUCAACACAGGGCCUCCGUGCUGACACUCCUUUGCCCUUUGUUUUCUUUCAGUUUUUCCUAAAUAUAUCAGCAAUCCUGUCAGCUGCCUCAGGAAUGGAGGAUUGUGUAAGGCUGCCUGCCGUGGACAUCUGAAGAAGAUCUGCACCUGCGGCAUACCAGGGCCCAAAUGCUGUCGGGUAAAGUGAGGAGGCCCAGAGACCACAGCAACAGAAGUGGACCAGACCUCUUCCAACCCCAGCCACAUUAAAGCAUGUGUUCAGAACCUUGCCUUCUAGUGAUAUGGUGACCCGACCGACCCGUAGUCAUGUCCUGGGGACACGCUGUUAAGCUCUGCAUACUGACAAUCAGGACAGUGCAGGGGGCUUCUGUGUCUUUCCAGGGACCCCUGAGUGCAUCUGUCUCCAUGAUACCCCCAUCUUCCCCAGUGACACUGCGUGCUUUGCUCUUCCUGCCCCCCUCCCCUUGCAUGCCCUGACCUACUAUGAAAACAGCCCAAUCCCUCUGUCCCCACUCAAACCCGCUGGCUCUGGAAGCCAGAGCAGCACCCUUGCACCUCUGCUCUCCGCGCCCUGCCCUUGGGUCCUGCUUUUGCUCAGCUGGGCCUGGUGCACGUACAGGUAACACUCUAAUUCUCUCAGGCCAACAGGUCUCUGUGUGUGGACUUUGUCUGUCCUUUUAUGCACUGGUCAUUGAGGGGAGGCCUUGCUGCAUAAGUGAUUAUGAACAGAAGGGCGCAGUUGAGUUGGACAGUGUUUCCUGCCGUGUAGAUGGAGGGUGAUAAGGUCAAGAGUGGGAAAGCAGGUUCUCACCAGAGACACAGGGAAUGACAUCAGUAAAACAGGGGACAGAGGAAGAGGGAGCCAAGGUCCAAAGGAGAGACCAAGACAGGGCAGCAGCCAGACACUGCUGAGCCUGACACCCUUGCCCAGGGUAGGUCCUUGCUGGUGGAUCCUGUGGGUGCCCCACUGUUUCUCCACCUGAACGCUCCCCUGAAUGUGCUCCUAAUUCUGGGUGAAUGCAGCUCGAUUCCAAAAUAAUACCUACAGUCUCAGGAUUGAAAAAAGAAACGACACCUUGUUACAGUAAAAUCAUUUUUAUCAGGAUAGGUACAUCUGAUAACAGGUGAGAUGAGAGAGACACUGCUGUGGGUAGAAACUUAAGUACCCCCCCAAAAAUCCACACUCAAGACAAAAUAUGAUGAAAUAUUUUUAAAAAACUAAAAUCAGUGCUCCAAAUCCAUGAUUAACACAAUAUCCAAAUAUCAAACCAGGACAGGAUCUACCUUCAGUUUCACUCUGCAAACCCAC